UACGUAGGGUGCGAGCGUUAAUCGGAAUUACUGGGCGUAAAGCGUGCGCAGGCGGUUUUGUAAGCCAGAUGUGAAAUCCCCGGGCUCAACCUGGGAAUGGCGUUUGGGACUGCAAGGCUGGAGUGUGGCAGAGGGGGGUGGAAUUCCGCGUGUAGCAGUGAAAUGCGUAGAGAUGCGGAGGAACACCGAUGGCGAAGGCAGCCCCCUGGGCUAACACUGACGCUCAGGCACGAAAGCGUGGGGAGCAAACAGG
rnacentral:rRNA from 1 species